CCAUGCCGCGUGAGUGAUGAAGGCCUUAGGGUCGUAAAGCUCUUUCGCCUGUGAUGAUAAUGACAGUACCAGGUAAAGAAACCCCGGCUAACUCCGUGCCAGCAGCCGCGGUAAUACGGAGGGGGUUAGCGUUGUUCGGAAUUACUGGGCGUAAAGCGCACGUAGGCGGAUUGGAAAGUUGGGGGUGAAAUCCCGGGGCUCAACCCCGGAACUGCCUCCAAAACUAUCAGUCUAGAGUUCGAGAGAGGUGAGUGGAAUUCCAAGUGUAGAGGUGAAAUUCGUAGAUAUUUGGAGGAACACCAGUGGCGAAGGCGGCUCACUGGCUCGAUACUGACGCUGAGGUGCGAAAGUGUGGGGAGCAAACAGGAUUAGAUACCCUGGUAGUCCACACCGUAAACGAUGAAUGCCAGUCGUCGGGCAGUAUACU
rnacentral:rRNA from 1 species